UUUCAAUAAAAUAGAUAAUUUUCCUGCAUUUAUUGAAAGGAUCAUGUGUUUUUUCUUUGUCUCUUGAUGUAGUGAUUUAUACUUAUUAAUUUUCUAAUGUUAAAUCAAGUUUGAAUUAUUUGGGUAAAUUUCAUUUUGGUCAUGACAUAAGUUGUUAUCUUUUUAACACAUUACAGAAUACAAUUUGCUAAAUGUUUGUUCAGGAAUUUGAAACUAUGGUCAUUAGUGAGAUGAGUUUAUUUUGGUUUUGUCAGAUUAUGGUAUCAAGGUUAUAUUUGCAUCAUUUAAAGUUGGGUUGUUUUCAUUUCUUUCUAAUAUGUCAGUGUUAGCUUCUCAAUGCUAUGAAUACUUGAGGUAAUUAACUUACAAAGAGCAAAGUUUUAUUUUGAUGAAGAGUUUUGGAGGUUUCCAUCUCUGAUUGGUUGGUGCCAUUUUGGGGGGCCUGUGGUGAAGCAGCACAUCAUUGUGAGAGUUUGUGGUGAAGCAAACCUUUCACCUCAUUCCUAGGAAGCAAACGAGAGCAAGGAGGGCACCAAUGCAUCCUUGUGUUCUCAUCUCCUCCCCAGUCCGCUUGGAGAGAGUCAAAGUGAAGACAGUGUCACGGUCACUGGCCAGCCAGGCCUCUAGGAGUGUGUACUGGCAUGGUAGGGUUGGCUCACCCUCCCGACCUACCAGCAGAUGGAACAAGUGGCAGACUUCAUGGACUUAGGAUUCAAUGGCCCUCUCACUCCCAGGAACUGAACAGCUGUUUGCCUUGAUUCUCAGAGGAGACUUUGGAUUGGACUUUUCAACAAUGCUGGAACUGUUAAGACAUGGACUAAAUGCAUUUUGUAGAAAGAGAAGGAUGUGAACUUUAAGGGGGCCUGGGAUGAAAUGUUAUGAUUUAAAUCUAAAAUAUCCCCCAAAAGUAUUAUGUUCAGAGGUGGGGCUCUUUGGAAAUGAUAGGUCAUUGCUGUUGUGAUUUGGAAGGGUGUAUUCUCAUCUUUGGCUACUGCCUUCUCUUUUUUAUUUUUGGUCAUCAUGACUUCUACCAAUUAGUUAUUGCCUUGGAGCCAGGUGACCAAGGAUUGAACCUAAUGAACCCAUGAGCCAAAGUAAACCUCUUCUUUAAAUUAUGGAUGUUGGGUAUUUUGUCCCAGUGAUUAUAAAGUAGUGAAUAUAGACACUGCCUCCCAUCCUCCUGGAUCCUGAUAGCCACUCUCAUAGUUGAAUCUAAGUAACUAAAAGGCAAUGAAACUCACAGAGCCAGUCAGUGAAAGCCUGGCUAUUAAGACCCAGAUUUGGCGAAAAAGUAGGUAUUUUUUUUCUUACAGGGGCAAGGAAAAAUAUUGAGCAAACAGGAAAAAUAUAGCAGACACUUGGGUGGAGCAUAUUUAUUGUAUAAGGUGUUAGGAAGAAGAGAAAUAAUUGGUAGAAGAAACAAUUUGCAUCCUAACAUGGGAGUGGGAGAAUGAGGCUGCUGCAUAAAUGUAACUUAGGGUACUCUGGGGGAAAGAUAAGCAUUGGUAAGAGAAGGAAGAUUGUAAGGGAAUGGAAAAAUACGUUGAAAUUUAGGAAGUAUUCCCAAAUAGGGCACAGGGAUUUUUAGGUUGCACUAAAUGACCUUUGCUGGGGACCAAAUGUAGAAGAGUAGGGAGGAUCAGGAUUGAGAAUGGGCCACAUAGGAAUUGAAAUUGAUGGGGACAAGGGAGGGAUAACUUGUGAGUAGCAAAGAUUUGGUUUGAAGUGACAGAGAAAAUGGAUAGAAUUAAAUAGGCAUCCGUGCCAGUGGUAGACAGAAGAGCAUGACUAGAUAGGAAAAGUCAUGUAAUUUAUGAAAAUUGGAAGAGGAGACUUACGUUGAGAUAGAGAUAAUCAGAGAUUUUAGGGAACAUUUUAUUACAACUACUUAUACAGAACAUUGCUAUGACAACGCCAG
ensembl:lncRNA